rnacentral:tRNA from 1 species
GGAGAGGUGGCAGAGUGGUCGAAUGCGCUAGACUCGAAAUCUGGUGUAUCCGCAAGGGUACCGAGGGUUCGAAUCCCUCCCUCUCCGCCA